rnacentral:rRNA from 1 species
AGCAGCCGCGGUAAUUCCAGCUCCAAUAGCGUAUAUUAAAGUUGCUGCAGUUAAAAAGCUCGUAGUUGAAUUUCGGGACCAAUAUGUCGGUCGUGCCUCGGUACGUACUGGCAUCGUUGGUUUCUCCCUUCUGACGAACCAUGAUGUCAUUCAUUUGGUGUCGUGGGGAAUCAGGACUGUUACUUUGAAAAAAUUAGAGUGUUUAAAGCAGGCUCACGCUUGAAUACAUUAGCAUGGAAUAAUGAAAUAGGACGUUCGAUCCUAUUUUGUUGGUUUCUAGGAUCAACGUAAUGAUUAAUAGGGAUAGUUGGGGGCAUUAGUAUUCAAUUGUCAGAGGUGAAAUUCUUGGAUUUAUUGAAGACUAACUACUGCGAAAGCAUUUGCCAAGGAUGUUUUCAUUAAUCAAGAACGAAAGUUAGGGGAUCGAAGACGAUCAGAUACCGUCGUAGUCUUAACCAUAAACUAUGCCGACUAGGGAUCGAAUGAUGUUAAUUAUUUAAUGACUCAUUC